CGCAUUGAAUGUGUACGACAAUCUGUUCGCCAGCAGUGCAUGUGGAGUAUUAGCCGUUUGGAAUGCACAAAGCCUCUCCGUUUGCUUCGUCUUCAAGAUGGUCCUGAACGCCACCAAACGCAGGAGGGCGCUGGUAUUGGGUAGUCAUCAGAAAACAAAAACUGUUUGACACUGCUGAUGUCCCCUACUCUUCAUCAUCCGGCGGGAAAAGUAUCUGCGGCAGCACUCAGUGACGCCAUGACCUGCGUUGGUAGCAAUCUUCGCUCGGCACUGUUGCUCUGUUUGAGGUAGGGUUCGUAAUUUCACGCUGCUUCAAAAAUCGUGUAUUGCUUGCUUCGAGCUUCUGGUGCGUUGCCGCUCGAGUGCUUGUUUGUGUGUGAAGCAGGCAGUAGGGGCAUCCACGCAGGCGCUUUCCUCACCAACACAAGCCGUCAAUGCUUACCUCAGACGAAGAAAUUUUGAAGAAACCAUUGUCGAAUUUCUCGAUACCGUCUAUGAAACCUCCCUCCUUGACGUAUAUCGUCCCUCGUUCGCUGUGUCCCUCGCUGAACUCCUUGUGGUUCCAUCGCUUUGAGGGUAUUGGCACAAUAGCGUCUAUACCCUCCACAAGAACCGUCCAGAAAUCGCCAGGGUUUUUUGCGUUUCCUGGUAGCCGACAGGCAAUGCCCACAAUCGAAAUGGAGGCUUUUUCAUUUUCAGUGGAGUAACGGUUUGUCCUGUGUAUGAUGUGAUGACUAGAGGUUUUGACGUUGACUUGCUUUUCUUUCUUCAGCUCGCAGAUGUGGAAGACGAACGAGCUAAAGCUCUCGUAAUCCUUCGCCGCGAGUGGCCCGAUUGGCACUUCGAACUGAACCGACACACGGUUGAGAAACUCUGCGAAUGUGAUAUCAUCUUGACGAACAGCGCAGAAGCGGUACUCAGCGUCAGUCCUUUGGUUGGGGGUGUCCUCGCUGUCUGGCUCAGUUACAGCCUCAAGACAGGAUAGUAAAGCCUGAGUGAGGUCAGACGCCAUUGUUUGUGAACGUCCAGUUUUUCUAUAUUCAGUAGCAGCAGUUUCACAUGUUUCAACGAGGUUGUUCUUCUCUCUAAUCAGAAGAUGGGCGUCUCAGAAGUCAACCUCAUUCCGCAUCAUAUAUAACAACUUCACACGCAGAUUCGGGAACUCAUAAACAAUGCGCAUGACAUGAAAUAUUUGUUGGCUCCGCUGGGGCCAGUAGUUGGCUAAUCACAUGAUAAGCUCUCAACCACAUAGUACUGACCUGCUAUUCUGUUACACGGUAGAACAGUUUUCACAAGAAAAGAAGGCCGGUUAGCGUUCUGUCUACACAUCGUUCAAAACGUGUUCCCCAGCUCCGGUGUCAGUUUGCAAGAGUCCUGUGAUUUCCUGCUGGCUCACCUGCCAGUUUUUGACCCGUAACGGAGCCAGCACGGUCUGGGUAGUGUCCUGCUGCCAUUAACGCGGUAACUCCACAUCUGGUACGAGUGAGGUUGUUAUCUCCUACUAAAUCGCGACUCCAAUGCUGCUUCCUCCCAUCAAUUAAUUUCUCCG
rnacentral:lncRNA from 1 species